rnacentral:sRNA from 1 species
AACAUGUUUACUUCUUUCAUUGUUGCAUGUGCUUGGAGGUUUACUCGCGACAGAGGAUCUAAACUGGUUAGAAAGAUCACAAGGAUCUUUACUCAAAAGUUCAAUGCUCCUUACUAUAAAUGGUCCUCUGUGCCAUUGGCUAAAAGAGAGAGACUGUUUUUAGAGUUCGCGGUAAGCUUCCUGACUCUUUGCUUUGUUCAGUCUUUGUUUUAUUGUCUGCUCAAGUUCAGUUCACUAACUUCUUCUUUUUUUG